rnacentral:rRNA from 1 species
UGCGGAGGGUGCAAGCGUUAUCCGGAUUCACUGGGUUUAAAGGGUGCGUAGGUGGGCAGGUAAGUCAGUGGUGAAAUCUCUGGGCUUAACUCAGAAACUGCCAUUGAUACUAUCUGUCUUGAAUACCGUGGAGGUCAGCGGAAUAUGUCAUGUAGCGGUGAAAUGCUUAGAUAUGACAUAGAACACCAAUUGCGAAGGCAGCUGGCUACACGAAUAUUGACACUGAUGCACGAAAGCGUGGGGAUCAAACAGG